rnacentral:rRNA from 1 species
AUUGAACGCUGGCGGCAGGCCUAACACAUGCAAGUCGAGCGUGCGGCGGACGGGUGAGUAAUGUCUGGGAAACUGCCGGAUGGAUGGGGAUAACUACUGGAAACGGUAGCUAAUACUGCAUACCAUCAGAUGUGCCCAGAGGGGGGUAGAUAGGAGGGGGGGUAACGGCUCACCUAGGCGACGAUCCCUAGCCGGUCUGAGAGGAUGACCAGCCACACGGGAACUGAGACACGGUCCAGACUCCUCCGGGAGGCAGCAGUGGGGAAUAUUGCACAAUGGGCGAAAGCCUGAGGCAGCCAUGCCGCGUGUGUGAAGAAGGUCUUCGGGUUGUAAAGCACUGUCGGCAGGGAGGCGUUACCCGAAGAAGAAGCACCGGCUAACUCCGUGCCAGCAGCCGCGGUAAUUC